UACGUAGGGGGCUAGCGUUGUCCGGAAUCAUUGGGCGUAAAGAGCGUGUAGGCGGCCCGGUAAGUCCGCUGUGAAAGUCGGGGGGCUCAACCCUCGAAUGCCGGUGGAUACUGUCGGGCUAGAGUGCGGAAGAGGCGAGUGGAAUUCCCGGUGUAGCGGUGAAAUGCGCAGAUAUCGGGAGGAACACCGGUGGCGAAGGCGGUUCUCUGGGCCUGUACUGACGCUGAGGAGCGAAAGCGUGGGGAGCGAACAGG
rnacentral:rRNA from 1 species